rnacentral:rRNA from 1 species
UAAUACGUAGGAGGCGAGCGUUAUCCGGAUUUACUGGGCGUAAAGAGGGCGUAGGCGGCUUUUCAAGUUGGAUGUAAAAUCUCCCGGCUUAACUGGGAGGGGUCAUCCGAUACUGUUGGGCUAGAGGGCAGCAGGGGGAGGUGGAAUCCCCGGUGUAGUGGUGAAAUGCGUAGAUAUCGGGAGGAACACCAGUGGCGAAGGCGGCCUCCUAGGCUGUUUCUAACGCUGAGGCCCGAAAGUGUGGGUAGCGAACAGGAUUAGAUACCCUGGUAGUCCACACCGUAAACGAUGGACACUAGGUAUAGGGAGUAUCGACCCUCUCUGUGCCGAAGCUAACGCCUUAAGUGUCCCGCCUGGGGACUACGGCCGCAAGGCUA